CUUCCAAGCAUGGCAUAGAUAAAGAAGGCAACAAAUCUGCAUUUUCUUUUACAGGACUGCAGCAGGAGCUUGCUGCAUCUUGGCUUUCUAUUUAGAGUGAGAAUGAGAGGAAUUGAGGAUCCCCCUGUUCUGCGCAAAGCCCAGGAGAAGGAAGAGAUGCAGGAGGAGUUGCCUGUCUCCAGCCACUGCCCAGGCACAGGGGACAGAGGCACACCCACAGCCACUGUGGCGCAGCUGAGUUCCUCCACAGCCAGAAAUGGUGGGAGAAAACUCUGGUGCUGAGUCACAUUUCCUUCCCAUGGGCUCAUGCUGGGAUGGAUGGAUGCGCCUGCCCUGUGCCUGCAGGGCCUCACUGCAUGGCUCCUGCUGGGUGAGCGUGCUGGACUGAUCGAGGUGGAUGCAGUGGUCCCCGUCAGAUGUGUGCCAAAUUGAAAUGCCAGCAGCUGUGUGAGCAGCGGGAUAAUCAUAUCUGCUGCUUCUCUCUUCCAAGUCCUGGCAUUCCCAUUUCAGCAAUGGUGUGUCCGUGCUCAGCUCCGCGGGAGGAAAUCCAUUGACCGAAGCCAUGCUGACGCCUGGGGGAUGCGGUUACAUGUUCAUCAGUCACCUGUCUGACUGUGGACCCACUGGGAUGCAGAGCAAUAGGAGAGCAAUGGACUGUCCUCAAAGAGGGCCAUGAGCUGCACUGCCAGUGGGGAAGAACUGCUUCUGCUCAUCCGGGUAAUGUCGCUGUGUUGGCUGAAAAGUCUCCACUUGGUCCUGAGCGGUGCCACCUGCAGAUCCCUGCACCCACU
rnacentral:lncRNA from 1 species